rnacentral:misc_RNA from 1 species
CCCGAUUUUCCCGACUAGUGGGUGUUUCUGGUGAUAAAAUUUUUUCAAACUUAUCAGCAACACUCUUGAUAGUAGAAUUAUUCUCCUCACCGGAUUUCCGUGCCCCAUCUUCUGAUACACUCAGAAAUUGCAACUUUAGAUCCAUUGCACUUUCUUUCUCACUUGUCACAUUGCUAAAACUUUCAGAUUCAAGAGCUACUGACAGCUUCUCAGCAUCGUUCUUGCUAUUUGAUGGCCUCCGCAUGUGAGCUGGCCUGAGCAACAUGCCAGGUUUUGUCCUUGAAAAGGUGACUGUUUCCCUUCCAGAAUUGAAAGACUUCUUUUCGAUGGGACUGUCCCGAGGUACAACAGUGGGCACAACAAAGGAUUUAUUAAGUGCUUCCCCACCAGCUUUUCCAUUCACUCCUGCUAUGGAACUUUUCUUCUCUGUUGGUG